rnacentral:rRNA from 1 species
AUUGAACGCUGGCGGCAUGCCUUACACAUGCAAGUCGAACGGUAACGGGCCUUCGGGUGCCGACGAGUGGCGAACGGGUGAGUAAUACAUCGGAACGUGCCCGAUCGUGGGGGAUAACGAGGCUAAAGCUUUGCUAAUACCGCAUACGAUCUACGGAUGAAAGCAGGGGACCGCAAGGCCUUGCGCGGGCGGAGCGGCCGAUGGCAGAUUAGGUAGUUGGUGGGAUAAAAGCUUACCAAGCCGACGAUCUGUAGCUGGUCUGAGAGGAUGAUCAGCCACACUGGGACUGAGACACGGCCCAGACUCCUACGGGAGGCAGCAGUGGGGAAUUUUGGACAAUGGGCGCAAGCCUGAUCCAGCCAUGCCGCGUGCAGGAUGAAGGCCUUCGGGUUGUAAACUGCUUUUGUACGGAACGAAAAGCCUUCUUUUAAUACAGGAGGGUCAUGACGGUACCGUAAGAAUAAGCACCGGCUAACUACGUG